rnacentral:rRNA from 1 species
GAUGAACGCUGGCGGCGUGCCUAAUACAUGCAAGUCGAGCGAACAGAUAAGGAGCUUGCUCCUUUGACGUUAGCAGCGGACGGGUGAGUAACACGUGGGUAACCUACCUAUAAGACUGGGAUAACUUCGGGAAACCGGAGCUAAUACCGGAUAAUAUUUCGAACCGCAUGGUUCGAUAGUGAAAGAUGGUUUUGCUAUCACUUAUAGAUGGACCCGCGCCGUAUUAGCUAGUUGGUAAGGUAACGGCUUACUAAGGCGACGAUGCGUAGCCGACCUGAGAGGGUGAUCGGCCACACUGGAACUGAGACACGGUCCAGACUCCUACGGGAGGCAGCAGUAGGGAAUCUUCCGCAAUGGGCGAAAGCCUGACGGAGCAACGCCGCGUGAGUGAUGAAGGUCUUCGGAUCGUAAAACUCUGUUAUUAGGGAAGAACAUACGUGUAAGUAACUGUGCACGUCUUGACGGUACCUAAUCAGAAAGCCACGGCUAACUACGUG